rnacentral:rRNA from 1 species
AUUGAACGCUGGCGGCAUGCCUUACACAUGCAAGUCGAACGGCAGCACGGACUUCGGUCUGGUGGCGAGUGGCGAACGGGUGAGUAAUAUAUCGGAACAUACCUUGUAGUGGGGGAUCACUAUCCGAAAGGAUAGCUAAUACCGCAUACGCUCUAAGGAGGAAAGCGGGGGAUCGUAAGACCUCGUGCUAUAAGAGUGGCCGAUAUCUGAUUAGCUAGUUGGUGAGGUAAAGGCUCACCAAGGCGACGAUCAGUAGCUGGUCUGAGAGGACGACCAGCCACACUGGAACUGAGAUACGGUCCAGACUCCUGCGGGAGGCAGCAGUGGGGAAUUUUGGACAAUGGGGGCAACCCUGAUCCAGCAAUGCCGCGUGAGUGAAGAAGGCCUUCGGGUUGUAAAGCUCUUUUGUCAGGGAAGAAACGGUUGUGGCUAAUAUCCAUGGCUAAUGACGGUACCUGAAGAAUAAGCACCGGCUAACUACGUGCCAGCCGCCGCAGUAA